UACGGGGGGGGCAAGCGUUGUUCGGAAUUACUGGGCGUAAAGGGUGCGUAGGCGGUCCGCUAAGUUGGAUGUGAAAACUCUGGGCUUAACCCAGAGCCUGCAUUCAAAACUGACGGGCUAGAGUUCUGGAGGGGGUAGCGGAAUUCCUGGUGUAGCGGUGAAAUGCGUAGAUAUCAGGAGGAACACCGGUGGCGAAGGCGGGUCUCUGGGCGAUUAACUGACGCUGGAGGAGCGAAAGCAUGGGGAGCGAACAGG
rnacentral:rRNA from 1 species